GACAGAGGGUGCAAACGUUGCUCGGAAUCACUGGGCGUAAAGGGCGUGUAGGCGGGAAGGAAAGUCGGGCGUGAAAAUCCCUGGGCUCAACCCAGGAACUGCGUCCGAUACUGGUUGGCUUGAAUCCGGGAGAGGGAUGUGGAAUUCCAGGUGUAGCGGUGAAAUGCGUAGAUAUCUGGAGGAACACCGGUGGCGAAGGCGACAUCCUGGACCGGUAUUGACGCUGAGGCGCGAAAGCCAGGGGAGCAAACGGG
rnacentral:rRNA from 1 species